GGCGACGUGGCCGAGUGGCUAGGCAGAGGUCUGCAAAACCUCGUACAGCGGUUCGAAUCCGCUCGUCGCCUCCG
rnacentral:tRNA from 1 species